GACGAACGCUGGCGGCGUGCUUAACACAUGCAAGUCGAACGGAAAGGCCCUGCCUUUGUGGGGUGCUCGAGUGGCGAACGGGUGAGUAACACGUGAGUAACCUGCCCUUGACUUUGGGAUAACUUCAGGAAACUGGGGCUAAUACCGGAUAGGAGCUCCUGCUGCAUGGUGGGGGUUGGAAAGUUUCGGCGGUUGGGGAUGGACUCGCGGCUGAUCAGCUUGUUGGUGGGGUAGUGGCUUACCAAGGCUUUGACGGGUAGCCGGCCUGAGAGGGUGACCGGCCACAUUGGGACUGAGAUACGGCCCAGACUCCUACGGGAGGCAGCAGUGGGGAAUAUUGCACAAUGGGCGGAAGCCUGAUGCAGCAACGCCGCGUGCGGGAUGACGGCCUUCGGGUUGUAAACCGCUUUCGCCUGUGACGAAGCGUGAGUGACGGUAAUGGGUAAAGAAGCACCGGCUAACUACGUG
rnacentral:rRNA from 1 species